UACGUAGGUGGCAAGCGUUAUCCGGAAUUAUUGGGCGUAAGCGCGCGCAGGUGGUUCCUUAAGUCUGAUGUGAAAGCCCCCGGCUCAACCGGGGAGGGUCAUUGGAAACUGGGGAACUUGAGUGUAGAAGAGGAAAGUGGAAUUCCACGUGUAGCGGUGAAAUGCGUAGAGAUGUGGAGGAACACCAGUGGCGAAGGCGACUUUCUGGUCUAUAACUGACACUGAGGCGCGAAAGCGUGGGGAGCAAACAGG
rnacentral:rRNA from 1 species